rnacentral:lncRNA from 1 species
UUGUGGUUCUUCAGUUGCUUGUCGACCAAUAUCUGCUAUGUCUUCGAAUGAUAGCUUGAGGCCUAGGUGCGCUUGAAUUGCAGCAACAUCCUGAACAACUGACUUCAGGGAUGUUUGGAUAGAUGUUAAAGUAGCUUCCAUCCUUGCAUUGGACUCUAGCAGUUUGGCAUUGUGUGCCAUCUGAGCUGCCAUAAAUUCCAUCAAUUUUGCAACAUAUGCAGGAGGCUCAGCUGCUGAUUCAGAGGCUUGUGGAGGAGUUGGCUCAACAUUUGGCAUUGGCCUAAUCCAAAUGCCAUUUACUUUCUUCAAUUUCAUCUGAUUCACAAUUGCUUCGCCGAAGAUGAGGGUUGUCUUCGCAGAUUCUUCAUUCACAAAUGACACCUUGAAG